AGGAUUUCUAUAUGCGUAAGCAACAUGGUCGGCACUAUAAAUACUACGGGCAAUCGUCUCGCCGACCCUUUCAUACCAUAAGGAUUGUUGUUGUAUGUGCUAAUAUAGUUUAGGAGCAAUUUGUGACGAAUUACUCCGUUCUUGACAGGAUACAACGUCAAAAGGAUGUGCUGGAGGAGAAAAUGGCAGUUGGUGGAUGGGAGGAGGGAGUUCUCAGUAACCUGAAACUAAUCGAAACCUGUUUUGGCAAGUGCCUUGGAGUAAGGUUUUCAUAGCAUUGGUGGCUGUUGAGCUAUGACAUGGUGGUGCAUUAUAGGAUGUGCAUGUAUUGGGAGAACAGAAUUCCAGAAGUGUCCCAGUGGUGGCUCCAUAAAUCAAGAGCAUGUGCUGUGGCGGUCGCCCUACGAAUAUAAAAUUCUUCAUCCCACCAUCUUUCCUCUUUGUCAUAUGCAGGUUCACUUUGAAGCAGAAGGGGGUGCCAUUUGCUUAUCAAAAUUAGUACUGCAUAUAGAUGGGAGGUGCUAACCAGCUUUCAUACAGACUGGUGCAUUUUCACUUUUUUUUAUUUUUAUUUAUUUAUUUUUUAAAGCCUGUCUUCUAUCCUAAAUCCAUUGCUUGCUCACUUUGGUAGGCCUGUGUAUCUAAUGCUGAUGGGCAAGGUACAUUUCUAAAAUCAGCUUUAAUACAGAUUGACUUGGAAAUCGCUUUGCUGGCUGUUCUGGAUUAUAGUAUCCAAAAAUAGAUGGUUUAAAUUUGGCUAUUCUCAGCAGACUGAACUGUGGUUGUUUUGGUCAGAUUGCCAUUGCAGUCAGCUUGGUGCUGGAAAAUGCAUGGAUGUUCUGUAUGCUGCAGUCACAAUGAGUAGUAUACUGCUGGGAAUUGGUUUGUUGACUGGGUUGAAUUUCGGGUUGAUUUAUAGCAAUUGAACUUGACGAUAAAAGAGAAAUUCCCUGAAAGUGAAGUACAACCCUGACUCCAAUGCCAUGUCUGAUCUGGGACUGAAGACAUGUUGGAUAGAUGAAGUUUGAAUUGCAUUACAAUAAGUAGCCAAAACGGUUUAGAAUAUUCAAUGCAGUAAAAUGUUUGUAAGUAGCCAAAAUCAAGAUAUGGGCUUGCUUUGUGAAGCUUCAAGACCCUUACAGGAGAAUGGAAUGUUUUAAACUUAUUAAACCUUAUUCUCUUUUCUCCAAAAAUGCCUUGAUGUUUUGGAAAUGCUAAUUUUUCCAGGUUUUUUUAUUUUAUUUUAUUUUUUAUUUUUUUAUUUUAGCGGCGACCGCAGCUCUAGCUCUGUCUGUGGGUCGGUCGGUUGUUCCACAAAAGUGUCCCACCCCGUAGCGGCCACAGUUUUCGCCCCAGGAGGCUAAGAAUUUGGCAUGGAGGUUGGUCAUGACCGAAGGUUGAGCUGAGUAACUUUCAGGCCGAUUGACAGAGGGGGCGGGGCGACGGGCGUGGCCUGUCACAAAAAGGCGCAUAACUCCCGAAAUGGAUUCACAGAUUUGCAUAAGAUUUUGUGGAAAGGUUGGUCAUGAGCCAAAGAAGUCACUUGUUUGUGUGAGGGUGUGUGUGUGGAUGCAUGCACACAUGAUGCAUGCGCGUGUGCGGUUGCAGCUAUUGCUUGUAUCUUGUUGCUUGUACUGGGAGUUGUAAUGGAAGAGAAUGUGUUGAGCACUCCAGUUGUGAAAGAGUUGAACAUGAAUAAAAGUAUCAUUUUCUCUGA